CGCCGGCCACCACUCGGCUGCCGCGCACCACUUCCUCAGACUCGAUAGUUCAGGCUUCUGGUCGGUGUGGGUCCCUGCUGCGGUAUUGGAACCUGCGUCCACUGGUUUUAAUUUCAACGAUCAGCUCAUCGCCUACGUGCGCCCGGCUCAGGAGGAGAAUAGUUAGUCGUAUAAUAAUGGAUGAAGUUGGGCAUAAUAGGCGUAAUUGCCCAAACAAGGGGAGCUGAAGCAGCGGCUCAAACAUGCUCGCAUUUACCUGUGGCAAUGAAGCAAUGUGUUUAGUGCUACACUUUCAGGAUGAUUUGCUAAAAUAAUGUGCACUUAUAUUUUUUUAGAUGCCAAAAACAAUUUGGAUGCUAUGUCAAUUCUAUAGUUUUAUUUUCUCUUUGGAUCCUGGAACACAUUUGUAUUCAAGAAUUCCUCCACUGUAACACCUGUCCCAACUUCCUGCCUUCUCUGCUCUUAUUUCAUAUGCAGCAGCAGCAUGUUACCUAUACAUACAACUCGAUUGCUGAGGCAAAAGAUCAUCUAUUUUCAUUCUUGAUCA